rnacentral:rRNA from 1 species
CAGCAGCCACGGUAAAACGUAAGUGGCAAGCGUUGUCCGGAAUUAUUUGGCGUAAAGGGCUCGCAGGCGGUUUCCUAAGUCUGAUGUGAAAGCCCCCGGCUCAACCGGGGAGGGUCAUUGGAAACUGGGAAACUUGAGUGCAGAAGAGGAGAGUGGAAUUCCAUGUGUAGCGGUGAAAUGCGUAGAUAUAUGGAGGAACACCAGUGGCGAAGGCGACUCUCUGGUCUGUAACUGACGCUGAGGCUCGAAAGCGUGGGUAGCAAACAGGAUUAGAUACCCCGGUAGUCCCUGUCUCUUAUAC